GUAUUUAUAUAAGUAAAAAAACUUAAAAAAACAUUUGCAACCCCAUUUUAAAAAAAAAAAUUCUUUUUUUUCUCUCAACUCUCUCUCAACCCUUCAAACUUUUUUCCAGAAUCCGGCCAUGUCUCCGGCGCCGGACCACCGCGGCGGCCGUCGAUCGUCGGCGACGGCGCCACCGUUUGCGGUUGCCGAAAAAUUUAAAAAAAAAAUAUUUUUUUGUUUUUUAGCUCCUGGCCUUAAAAAACACCGAUUUUCAUCGGAAUCGGCACCUCCCUCUCAAAAAGGUACACACGUGGCGGCUCGUGCGGAGAGGCGGCGCGAACGGAGGCCGGUUCUGAGUUGUGUGGCAGUUGGAGUUGGGGGCGGCGGCUGCUGAUUUCUUUAGGGUUUCUUGCUUUUCUUUGUUUGUUUCUUUUGGGCUAGGGUUUAGUUAGGUUAGUUGGGUUGUUUGGGUAUUGGGCCUGCUGAUGUAAUUUGGGUUUAUUAAUUGGGUUUGUAAAAAAACAGGGCAUUUAUUUUAUUUUGGUCUUUGUAUUUUAAUUGGGUUUAGGCAAAAUAGGCGUAUUACCAUAUCUUUUAACAUGGGUUUGAGAACAAGACAUGAAAAUUAAAUUUAAGUUUUUAAUUUAAGUUGAGUAAAUGGAUUGGAUUGUUUCUUACUUA